AGUGAACGCUGGCGGUAGGCCUAACACAUGCCAGUCGAACGGAAGCACAGUAAGAGCUUGCUCUUACGGGUGGCGAGUGGCGGGCGGGUGAGGAAUACAUCGGCAUCUACUUUUUCGUGGGGGAUAACGUAGGGAAACUUACGCUAAUACCGCAUACGACCUACGGGUUAAAGCAGGGGAUCUUCGGACCUUGCGCGAUUGAAUGAGCCGAUGUCGGAUUAGCUAGUUGGCGGGGUAAAGGCCCACCAAGGCGACGAUCCGUAGCUGGUCUGAGAGGAUGAUCAGCCACACUGGAACUGAGACACGGUCCAGACUCCUACGGGAGGCAGCAGUAGGGAAUAUUGGACAAUGGGCGAAAGCCUGAUGCAGCCAUACCGCGUGGGUGAAGAAGGCCUUCGGGUUGUAAAGCCCUUUUGUUGGGAAAGAAAAGCAGCAGGUUAAACCCCCGCUGUUCUGACGGUACCCAAAGAAAAAGCACCGGCUAACUUCGUG
rnacentral:rRNA from 1 species